GACGUAGGGUGCGAGCGUUGUCCGGAGUUACUGGGCGUAAAGCGCGCGUAGGCGGCGGAGCGCGUCGCACGUGAAAGCCCCCGGCUCAACCGGGGAGGGUCGUGCGAGACGGCUUCGCUGGAGGCAGCGAGAGGCUGGUGGAAUUCCCGGAGUAGUGGUGAAAUGCGUAGAGAUCGGGAGGAACACCGGUGGCGAAGGCGGCCAGCUGGCGCUGGACCUGACGCUGAGGCGCGAAGGCUUGGGGAGCGAACGGGAUUAGAUGAC
rnacentral:rRNA from 1 species